GCAUGUGAGAAUGAUUUAGCUGUAACAUCUGUCACCUCACUGAUUGCCAGGGUUGAUUUGGCUGAUCUCACUGAUUAGGUGGUGUCCCCUUCCUGCUCACCACUCCAUGUGCAUCCUUCCCAAAGCUUUGUGCUUGGUUAAAGAGGACAACCUUCUCUAAUAGAAGAAGACUCUUCUUUGAUCAAAGAUAUACAAAUAAAUGCACUCAUUUGCUAGAACCUUCAAACAAUCUCUCAAGAAAUGGUGAGAAGUAAAACAAAUAUAUACCUAGCUUUAUUUACAUAUACUUGAAGAAACACUGU
rnacentral:snRNA from 1 species